AUCUGCCGCUCUGUGGUUUUUUUAGGUUUUGAUUUUUGGACUUGGAUGAGAAAAUCUAAAUCUAAAGAAAAUACAGCGCUGACGAGA
rnacentral:miRNA from 1 species